rnacentral:rRNA from 1 species
UACGUAGGGUGCAAGCGUUAAUCGGAAUUACUGGGCGUAAAGCGUGCGCAGGCGGCUUUGUAAGUCUGACGUGAAAUCCCCGGGCUCAACCUGGGGAUUGCGUUGGAGACUGCAAGGCUGGAGUCUGGCAGAGGGGGGUAGAAUUCCACGUGUAGCAGUGAAAUGCGUAGAGAUGUGGAGGAACACCGAUGGCGAAGGCAGCCCCCUGGGUCAAGACUGACGCUCAUGCACGAAAGCGUGGGGAGCAAACAGG